ensembl:lncRNA
CUGUUAUCUCCUUCAAACCCCUUUCAACACUACGUGCUGUUUCUGUUGUUCUUCUCCAGGCUGCAGUACUUUCUGUUUCGAGCUUGGCCAAUCAAAUUUGCCGGUGGUUCUUUAAUAACGUCUGUAAGUUGAUGCUCUGCAGGUUGUUUUGCACACGAUGUGUUCCGCUAUUGGCACUUUCUUGAAACCAAGAUCUCCGAUGCCAUCUAGUGGUCUCUUGUCUCCUGAUUGUGGUUAGAUAGUAGGAGUGUUCUUGUUUACAGGCUUGCAACUCGCGUCCCGUCCCGUUAGUGUGUGGGCCACAAUCACGUCAUUAUUCUCCUCAUCAGUGUGAACUUUCUAAGUAUUUGAUAUCUCUUUCUCUGACUCACGUUUGCUUUUGGUUUUAAACUACAGCCAGACAGGACUCUCCCCAUAUGAGUGAAUGCUGAAUUCAGUGGGUGGAAAAUGCCCAGAAGCAACAGUGGGUGAGAAGGCGCAAAACUGGGAAAUAUCGGGCUGUCAAGAAAUGCGCAUAAUCGCAUAUUAGGUAUUUGUGUCGAGUUAAACGUGUGGGCUUAAAGUAAAGCAGUACCCGAAUAAUUAAAAUGAAUAAACAACACAGUAUUUGGUCACAGGUCAAAUCAAGUUUGUAGAACAGAAAAAAAAAAAAACUGCGCUGGCGUGCAUCACCUUCACACUUCACAGCUCUUGCGUGAGAUUUUGAUCACAAGAUUUUGUGUAAAGAUUGUAAAGAUACCCCUUCUGUGGUUUCAUGCAAAAAAUAAAAACAAAACAAAAACUGUUGCUAAGAAAGACGAAAUAGAUUUCACACUCGAUAAGUGCACAGGCACCUUUCAGGCACUGGGUGAAACUUUCAGAACAGAGACACAGGUGCGUCAGGUGAAGUAAAUAACCUCGAAUGGGGCUUAGAUGACAAAUACUCCAGGCUGAUAACGCUCAUGCGUAGAUACCAGGGUUUAAAAUGCUGCAAAAAUGUUCUCUAGCAGACCUCAGUGAGUAACUAUUGUAGCGGACGUGGGUUGAGUGGGAGGUAAAAUCGUGCGUUCUUUGUGCAGUGAUGCAACACACACUGCUUGCACUGAUUCAAAAACAGCAGCGGCAUCUGCUCCGGACUGAUAAGAUCAGCAACAGUCCCCUUCCUGAUACCUUCUCAUAGUUUAUCUCUCGAACUGAUCUUCAUCACAGUAAUGACAUUCGUUCACUAUUACUGUACACGUAUAUUCCUCCUGAUUUUAAUAUUCUCACUUUGCUUUUCAUUGUUUCCCCGCAGUGCU